CUCGCGAGUCGAACGUUCGACUCAAGUCGAACGAUUUGGCGAAUUGCCUAAGUCGUGGUAUUAUGAAAGGCGAACUUCGACGUUCGCUUUUGAAAAUAAUAUUACCAACUUUAAGAAGUGAAAUAUGUAACGUCAUGACUUAGUGAAACGUCAAAGACUGAAAAUUAUUGUUGAUGAUAUAUUGUUUACAAUUUGGAAAAAAGUAAAAUAAAUAAAACAAAAUAUGAUAAGCAGUGUUGAUUUAUUUUUUGAAGAUGAAGAUGAAAACGAAAGAGCGGAGAAAGUAUUGUUGUGUAGAUUACGAAGAAGUUUAAGGGACAACUCCAACAUACUUCAACUUCCAGAUAAUUUGUUUGUGUCAUAUUUUCGCGUUAAUAAGCAUGCAUUUGGUUAUAUUUUAAACAUCAUUGGACUCACAUUGGAAUAAUCGCUCCUGUUCAGCUACAACAUCAAUUUUUAAACAGAAAAAGAUUUUAUAGUUUGAAUGUUAGUGGUGGCCUGUGACAAUAAUGGAAUUAUAAGAUUUAUUGAUUCCAGAUAUCCAGGUUCAACACAUGACUCUUUUGUGUGGAAUCAUAGUGAAUUAAAGGAUCUUUUGGAAAGCUGGUGGUUGAAUGGAGAGCGGUCAAGAUAUCUAGGUGUGAAUAUAUUCCAUUCGUAGGUAAAGAAGUAAAUGGGAUAUUUUUAAGAAUAUUUUUUUUUUUCAAAAAUACUAGGCUUGGUUUUUUUUUUAAAGAUCCGAAAGAUCCUAUAUCUUUCGCAUUUUCGGGGUUUGUCUCCAUAAUUUCAACGAGCUUUGAAAAUUGGUUGGAGUUGGUUCUUUUUAUGCUAGGUAUACAAAUAAAAUUCUAUAUUAUUUUUGCAAUUGUUAAGCAUUCAUUACCUUUUUCUAUUUCCAGUGCAACUCAUUUUACUUUAUUUUCCAAAAUUAUUCUCAAAACAAAAUAAAACAAACAAACAACCACCGA